UGCGCAGGCGGUUUUGUAAGCCAGAUGUGAAAGCCCCGGGCUUAACCUGGGAAUGGCAUUUGGGACUGCAAGGCUAGAGUGCGGCAGAGGAGACUGGAAUUCCUGGUGUAGCAGUGAAAUGCGUAGAUAUCAGGAGGAAUACCGAUGGCGAAGGCAGGUCUCUGGGCUGACACUGACGCUCAUGCACGAAAGCGUGGGGAGCAAACA
rnacentral:rRNA from 1 species